rnacentral:lncRNA from 1 species
CUUGGUAAUUUUAAGCAUAGCAAACUAGGUUCUUUAAUUAAAAAGUUUUUUUUUUUUUUUUUUUUUUUGGUCAUUAGUUAUUAAUUUUACACAGUUAACACUGAAAAAUGAAUGAUAUUUAAUCAUUGUCACUUACUGAGAAGCAAGAACAAUGAGUGAGCCCAAAGGAGUCUACUACCAUACCUAUUAAGUGUAGGGAAGGGUUUAAGUAUUUUUUACAUACUUUUCUUCUGUCAUUGGAAAAACACCACCCAUCUGAAAUGGACAGAAGAAAAUUUUCCCAGGUGUUCUACUCUCAUCAGAACAGCUUGGUGCCAGUGACCUCCACACUGUUAGCUGGCUCCCAUACUGCUUGAAGGGCACCAGUCAAGAGCUGUCAAAGGGAGU